rnacentral:rRNA from 1 species
CCCUUAGAUGUUCUGGGCUGCACGCGCGCUACACUGAACAGUUCAACAAGUCUUAACCUUGGCCGAUAGGUCUGGGUAAUCUUUGAACGCUGUUCGUGAUUGGGAUAGACCUUUGCAAUUAUGGGUCUUCAACGAGGAAUUCCUAGUAAACGCAAGUCAUCAGCUUGCAUUGAUUACGUCCCUGCCCUUUGUACACACCGCCCGUCGCACCUACCGAUUGAACGGUCCGGUGAAAUCUCGGGACGGCGGCUUGGUCGCUUGCGUCCGACUGCUGAAACUUGAUUAAACCAUAUCAUUUAGAGGAAGGUGAAGUCGUANCA